UUUUUUUCUUUUACAAUACGAUUUACUUUUUUGAGAAGAGAUUGAGUAGGGUUGGAGAAGAGGGUUGGAGAAGAGGGUUGAAGAAGAGAAGAAGAAAUCGUCUUUUUUUUUGUUUCUUCUUAUUUAAAAGAUUU
rnacentral:ribozyme from 13 species